GCGCACCAGGCGAGAAACCUCCGCAAUACACGAAAGUGUGACGGGGCCAUCCCGAGUGCCGUCCGCUGAGGACGGCUUUUCCCCAGUGUACAUAGCUGGGGGAAUAAGGAGAGGGCAAGCCUGGUGUCAGCCGCCGCGGUAAUACCAGCUCUCCGAGUGGUGGGGACGCUUAUUGGGCCUAAAGCAUCCGUAGCCGGCUGGGCAAGUCCUCCGUUAAAUCCAACGAUUCAAUCGUUGGGCUGCGGGGGAUACUGUCCAGCUUGGGGGCGGGAGAGGCCGACGGAAUUCUCGGUGUAGCGGUGAAAUGCGUGGAUAUCGAGAAGAACACCAGUGGCGAAGGCGGCUCCCUAUUCUGACACUGACACUGAGGCACGAAAGCUAGGGGAGCGAAAAGGGAUUAGAUACCCGCGUAGU
rnacentral:rRNA from 1 species